rnacentral:rRNA from 1 species
GGUCCUACGGGAGGCAGCAGUGGGGAAUAUUGGGCAAUGGGCGCAAGCCUGACCCAGCAACGCCGCGUGAAGGAAGAAGGCUUUCGGGUUGUAAACUUCUUUUCUGAGGGACGAAGAAAGUGACGGUACCUCAGGAAUAAGCCACGGCUAACUACGUGCCAGCAGCCGCGGUAAUACGUAGGUGGCAAGCGUUAUCCGGAUUUACUGGGUGUAAAGGGCGUGUAGGCGGGACUGCAAGUCAGAUGUGAAACCCAUGGGCUCAACCCAUGGCCUGCAUUUGAAACUGUAGUUCUUGAGUGAUGGAG